AUGAAAGUAGCAGGGAGAGACUGCUUGUAAGGCAGCGCCGAAGGAGCAAGCCGGGUAUGGUGAAUCUCUCAGGCAAAAGUACCUCUACUGGACG
rnacentral:ncRNA from 2 species